rnacentral:rRNA from 1 species
UACGGAGGAUGCAAGCGUUAUCCGGAAUGAUUGGGCGUAAAGCGUCCGCAGGUGGCAAUGUGUGUCUGCUGUCAAAGAAUGAGGCUUAACCUCAUCAAGGCAGUGGAAACUACAUAGCUAGAGUACGGUCGGGGUAGAAGGAAUUCCUGGUGUAGCGGUGAAAUGCGUAGAGAUCAGGAAGAACACCGGUGGCGAAAGCGUUCUGCUAGACCUGUACUGACACUGAGGGACGAAAGCUAGGGGAGCGAAUGGG